rnacentral:rRNA from 1 species
GAUGAACGCUGGCGGCAUGCCUAAUACAUGCAAGUCGAGCGGACGGACGAAAAGUUCGCUUCUCUGCUGUUACGGACGGACGGGUGAGGAACACGUGGAUAACCUAUCUAUAGGACUGGCAUAACGUCGGGAACCCGGAGAUAACACAGGACGAUAGGUUGAAAGGCAUGGUUCAUAGGAGAAAAACGGUUUUGCUGACCCUAAUACAUGGUUCCGCGCUGCAUUAGCUAGUUGGUACGGUAACGGCCUACCAAGGCGACGAUGCGUAGCCGACCUGAGAGGGUGAUCGGCCACACUGGAACUGAGACACGGUCCAGACUCCUACGGGAGGCAGCAGUAGGGAAUAUUCGACAAUGGGCGAAAGCCUGACGGAGCCACGCCGCGUGUGUGAUGAAGGUCUUCGGAUCGUAAAACUCUGUUAGUAGGGAAGAACGGAUGUGUAAUUAACUGUGCCCAUCUUGACGGUACCUAAACAGAAAGCCACGGCUAACUACGUG